rnacentral:rRNA from 1 species
UACGAAGGGGGCUAGCGUUGCUCGGAAUCACUGGGCGUAAAGCGCACGUAGGCGGGUCCUUAAGUCAGGGGUGAAAUCCCGGAGCUCAACUCCGGAACUGCCUUUGAUACUGGGGAUCUUGAGUCCGGAAGAGGUGAGUGGAACUCCGAGUGUAGAGGUGAAAUUCGUAGAUAUUCGGAAGAACACCAGUGGCGAAGGCGGCUCACUGGUCCGGUACUGACGCUGAGGUGCGAAAGCGUGGGGAGCAAGACGG